rnacentral:rRNA from 1 species
GACGAACGCUGGCGGCGUGCUUAACACAUGCAAGUCGAACGGGCCUUGUCCCCUUUUUUUUUGGGGGUGGGGUUAGUGGCGAACGGGUGAGUAACACGUGAGUAACCUGCCCCUCACUUCUGGAUAACCGCUUGAAAGGGUGGCUAAUACGGGGUGUUCUGGCCUGCUCGCAUGGGUGGGUUUGGAAAGAUUCGACCGGUUUUGGUUGUUUUGGUGGGGGAUGGGCUCGCGGCCUAUCAGCUUGUUGGUGGGGUGAUGGCCUGCCAAGGCUUUGACGGGUAGCCGGCCUGAGAGGGUGGGCGAUCACACUGGGACUGAGACACGGCCCAGACUCCUACGGGAGGCAGCAGUGGGGAAUAUUGCACAAUGGGCGCAAGCCUGAUGCAGCGACGCCGCGUGAGGGAUGGAGGCCUUCGGGUUGUGAACCUCUUUCGCCAGUGAAGAAGGUCCUGCUCUUUGUGGUGGGGUUGACGGUAGCUGGGUUAAUGAAGCGCCGGCUAACUACGUG